CAGGGAACAGAAGUGGUUUCCAAAAGAUGUAGUAAGCCCUUUGACAGUGGUGGGUGGUGAUGAGCUCAACUCUGCUCUGGUCAUAUGAACAGCCAGAAAGAGAUAAUGAAAACAUAGCAGGUUGUAUGUCAGUGAAGCAGACAAACAUAACUUUUCUUGCAAAAUCUCUGUUCAGCACAGCACCUAAGCAUCCACACUUUGCAGUCAGUGAUUAAAUUUGAACAUAUGCCCUAGUGUUUAUUGAAUCUGGUUCAUGAUACACACCCAUGAGUACAUUUAUUUAAUGAAUAAUCUUUUUAAAUGUAUGUUUCCCAUUUCUGUAACUCACUAAGCCUCCUUCAUUUUGGAUCCUUCUACUAAGCACUUGUGUUUUCCCUUCUGUUUAAGGAAGGGCAUCCAGAUGCAGACAGGGACAGAGGGCAGCCACGACUUCACUGUUCAAAGGCACCGGUCACCAUCAGGGCUGCAGGGAAGUGGGCAAGAAAGAGGCACCAGAGACGAGUGCUCAACAGCACAGCUAAUGGAGCCAGCUGAGGAUGCCACUGUGUGCCUGGAGCAGUACACUCUGCUGUUCCUCUCUUUUUGCUGUUCCUCCUUUCUUAUCCCACUGCUGUUCAUACAUCCCCCAAAGCCUCUCAAACAGGCAAUAUUAUCCACCUCCUGCGUGCCUUCCAAAGGUUGCAUUUACCAUUUCUGUAGCAAAAACUUAGGGUCUUUUAGUAAACUGGGUUAUUACUAUGCCUCAGAUCAAAAUAUUAAUUCAGGUUUAAUUCAGGUUUGAAUAAACUACUUUUAUAUGCCUCCUA